GGGAGAUUUUAGAGCAUUUAUAAAUAAUCACGAGACAUUUGAUUGUGAGUUACUUUUUUACCGGUUAGUCAAUCAAAAUUAUUGACACAGUACAUUGGUGGUAGCCAUCCAUGGUCCUCUUCAAUAAAUGUAAUCAACCUUCAAUCUUGAAUAAAAAUUUGUUUAUUGUUUCUACUAAUAGGGGUCAAAUUAUGUAUUGAAGAUUUUCUCUAGACCCAUGAAGUUAUUGAUUAGUUGUAGUAUGACACUUUUGAAUGUUUUAAUUACAAUUAGCCCUCCUAACAAAGUUUUCAAAAAUAAUUUGCUGAUCAUAAUGAAGUAAUUGAAGUUAAGCUCGAACGUUUGUGAUUUUUCAAUUUCCUUGUAUUUUAUUUUAAGAUUUAGGUCAUCGGUUGAUUGAAUAAGUCACUGUAAGUCAUUUAACAUAACAAAUAUUUACAUGAUCAUGGUGUUUUUUAUUACAAAAUUGUACCCA
rnacentral:lncRNA from 1 species